UGGGGAAUAUUGGACAAUGGGCGAAAGCCUGAUCCAGCCAUGCCGCGUGUGUGAAGAAGGUCUUCGGAUUGUAAAGCACUUUAAGUUGGGAGGAAGGGCAGUAAGCGAAUACCUUGCUGUUUUGACGUUACCGACAGAAUAAGCACCGGCUAACUCUGUGCCAGCAGCCGCGGUAAUACAGAGGGUGCAAGCGUUAAUCGGAAUUACUGGGCGUAAAGCGCGCGUAGGUGGUUCGUUAAGUUGAAUGUGAAAGCCCCGGGCUCAACCUGGGAACUGCAGCCAAAACUGGCGAGCUAGAGUAGGGCAGAGGGUGGUGGAAUUUCCUGUGUAGCGGUGAAAUGCGUAGAUAUAGGAAGGAACACCAGUGGCGAAGGCGACCACCUGGGCUCAUACUGACACUGAGGUGCGAAAGCGUGGGGAGCAAACAGGA
rnacentral:rRNA from 1 species